rnacentral:rRNA from 1 species
AGUGAACGCUGGCGGCAGGCCUAACACAUGCAAGUCGAGCGGCAGCGGAUCCUUCGGGAUGCCGGCGAGCGGCGGACGGGUGAGGAAUGCAUCGGAAUCUGCCCUGUCGCGGGGGAUAACCUAGGGAAACUUAGGCUAAUACCGCAUACGACCCACGGGUGAACGCGAGGGAUCACAAGACCUCGCGCGCUAGCGUGAUCCGAUGUCCGAUUAGCUAGUUGGCGGGGUAAAGGCCCACCAAGGCGACGAUCGGUAGCUGGUCUGAGAGGAUGAUCAGCCACACUGGGACUGAGACACGGCCCAGACUCCUACGGGAGGCAGCAGUGGGGAAUAUUGGACAAUGGGCGCAAGCCUGAUCCAGCCAUGCCGCGUGGGUGAAGAAGGCCUUCGGGUUGUAAAGCCCUUUUGUCCGGGAAGAAAUCGUCUGGGCUAAUACCCCGGGCGGAUGACGGUACCGGAAGAAUGAGCACCGGCUAACUUCGUG